rnacentral:lncRNA from 1 species
GCUGAACAUUAUCUGGGUUUGAUCUUUUGCUGCAAGCAGGCUGAUGUUGCCAUCGGAAGAUUGUGUGAAAACUGACGGCAAGUGUGUGAUUUGUGACCGCUGUGUCUGUCCCUUCACCCUGGUAUGCUUAUAUGAUGAGUGUAACUAUGGCUUUUACCAGGGACACUGUGAGAUCUGUGGAGGCCAUGGGAGUCUCUGAUGCCUAUUAUUGUAAGGAGUGCACCAGCCAGGAGAAGAAUAGAGAUGGCUGCCCAAAGAUUGUCAGCUUAGGGAGCUCUGAGACAGGCCUCUUCCAUGAACGUCAAAAAUGUGGCAUCAGAAA